CCUACGGGUGACAGCAGUGGGGAAUAUUGCACAAUGGGGGAAACCCUGAUGCAGCGACGCCGCGUGAGUGAAGAAGUAUUUCGGUAUGUAAAGCUCUGUCAGCAGGGAAGAAAAUGACGGUACCUGACCAAGAAGCCCCGGCUAACUACGUGCCAGCCGCCGCGGUAAUACGUAGGGGGCAAGCGUGAUCCGGAUUUACUGGUGGUAAAGGGAGCGUAGACGGCAGGGCAAGUCUGGAGUGAAAGGCGGGGGCGCAACCCCCGGACUGCUCUGGAAACUGCCAGGCUGGAGUGCAGGAGAGGUAAGUGGAAUUCCUAGUGUAGCGGUGAAAUGCGUAGGUAUUAGGAGGAACACCAGUGGCGAAGGCGGCUUACUGGACUGUAACUGACGUUGAGGCUCGAAAGCGUGGGGAGCAAACAGGAUUAGAUACCCGAGUAGUC
rnacentral:rRNA from 1 species